rnacentral:rRNA from 1 species
UACGAAGGGGGCUAGCGUUGUUCGGAUUUACUGGGCGUAAAGCGCACGUAGGCGGAUUGUUAAGUCAGGGGUGAAAUCCCGGAGCUCAACUCCGGAACUGCCUUUGAUACUGGCAAUCUUGAGACUGGAAGAGGUUAGUGGAAUUCCCAGUGUAGCGGUGAAAUGCGUAGAUAUUGGGAGGAACACCAGUGGCGAAGGGGCUCACUGGACCGGUACUGACGCUGAUGCGCGAAAGCGUGGGGAGCAAACAGG